rnacentral:lncRNA from 1 species
UGACCGUCUCAAACCAGCGCUAUACACGGAAGAAAGCUACAUCGUUCGUGAGGGAGAUCCAGUCGACGAGAUGCUCUUCGUUAUGCGAGGAAAGCUCCUAACAAUGACCACGAACGGAGGAAGGACAGGGUUUUUCAACUCGGAGUAUCUCAAGGCAGGCGAUUUCUGCGGUGAGGAGCUGCUGACAUGGGCGCUGGAUCCCCACACUUCGUCGAACCUUCCCAUCUCGACCAGAACGGUUCGUACGAUAACCGAAGUGGAAGCGUUUGCACUGACGGCCGAGGACUUGAAGUUCGUGGCUUCGCAGUUCCGCCGGCUUCACAGCAAGCAGAUACGCCACACGUUCAGAUUCUAUUCGCAGCAGUGGCGGACUUGGGCCGCUUGCUUCAUACAAGCUGCUUGGCGACGGUACAGUAAGAAGAAGCUGGAGGAAUCGUUGAGGCAAGAAGAGGACAGGCUGCAGGAUGCGUUGGCUAAGGCGAGCGGGAACUCUCCUAGUCUCGGUGCGACUAUAUACGCGUCGAGGUUUGCUGCCAAUGCGUUGAGGCUACUGAGGAGGAACUCGUCGAGAAAGAUGCGGGUCCCGGAGAGGGUUCCUCCUAUGUUGUUGCAGAAGCCGGCUGAGCCAGAUUUUACUGCCGAUGAACGGUAGCUAGGCAGUAAUGUGGUUAGAAGUUUUGGUUGUUUGGGGAAUUUGUAACUUCUUUCAAUCAACAGUUGAGCUAAUAGCAGAUCAAGUGUUCUGGUUGGUUGAUUGAUUCUCAUAUUGUAAACUGUAUAAUAUUAUUAAUAAAUAUAGCCAAAUUUUGUGAUAUUUCAAAUAACUCACAUUCUAGUUAUUUAAAAAACUUGAUUUUCCGCUGGAAAUUUCCACCUUGCAUCUUCGAAAGCUAUAGUUGACCAGAAUAGGAACCAGUCAAGUCAAUCAUCCAUAUAUUGAGUCAAUGGCACUCCUUUUUCCCUCCAUCGUUUCCCUUGUCGUCUGCUACUACUGAUUCUGACCGAUGAUGAGGUUUGAGUUUGCUCCAUCUCUUUAAUUGAGUAUUUCCUUCAAUUUCCGGCUUAACCCCAUGGUUGAUUGGAUUGGAUUGGAUUGGAUUGAAGCAGGACCUUCGACCCGAGGGAAUCGCUGGUUCGGAGGUGGCACUUGGUAUUGCUGGUAACAAGCGGAGCUGCUGUGCUGAUAGAUCCUCUCUUUCUUUACAUCCUACGAAUCAACAACCACCGCACUAGUACUACUAAGAACGAGAAAUUUAUGAUAGGGUUCGACAAAACUUUGCUGAUUUCUGCAACCACGCUCCGCUCCACUGCUGACGUUUUCUGUGGCCUGCUGCACGUCUUUUUCAAAUUCCGCACAGCUUUCCCUGCUCCUUCUUCAAGAGUGUUCAGCCGUGUUGAACUAGUUCACGACUCAUCUGCAAUUGCUCGCAGAUACUUCCCUUCCUUUCUCCUCGUUGACUUCCUUGCCCUCCUUCCCCUGCCUCAGGUUCCGUUUCCUCUCCUCUAUCUUCCUCUUCUGCAUCUGGAUUUCAAUAGAAACAUUGAAUACAUGUACCAAGUCUGAUUUUGAAUGGAAAUACUGGAAUUUUUAAAAGAUAGACAAACCCAUUUCGCUAAAUAUAUUUUUAUUGAACAAAAAUGGGUGAUUUCUUUAGAAGACCACGGUUGAUUUAGAAAAUGAAGUGAAAUUUGGAAGUGAUUUCAAAUCAUUUUGUGUCCUUAAGUGAUUUGGAAGGUGAUUUGAAAUCCUUUUCAUGGACAUAGUAUUUGACAACUCUCAAAUGAUUUGAAUAGGAAAAUAUUAAACUAUUUUGUUAAGUUUAAAUGAAGGAGAUAAUGUUAGAGAUGUAUUAGUCAUUUGUCGAGUAGAAUUUUUUUUUUGAUUUCAAAACUCCACAAAACAAUCAAGAUAUUUGGAAAUCACCAUCUAUUUUAGAUCAUCUUUCACCAAAUCCCAAAAUUGAUCGACCUCUAAGUUACUAACUACUCAUUGUUUUUUUUAGUUAAAAAAUAAAGUUAAUGUGUUGUCAGCGAUUUAUUUUUUAAAAUUUGGUCUAUUUUGGUUAAAUAUAUGAUUAUUACUUAUUCUUGAUAGAUUGAUUAUAAGUAGUAAUUGAGUUACGUUAGGUUGAUUAUUACUUAAUCUAGACAAAAUAAGUAGGGGAGUAGGACUUCAAAGAUUACUUAAUUGAAUUAUGAAAAUGUUUAAAUUUUAUACAUGAUUUAGUACUCGGGAGUCGGGACUAGGUGAGAAGAGAGUCGGGACUUUAUCGGAUUCCCUGUAGUUCCAUUGCUAGCCAAACAUUGCUCCGGAGUUAAAAAUGCAAUGAGUGAGAUUCCAGAAAAUCACAAAAAUACACUUGAUUUCAAUGCUUGGACCGAAAGUAGGGGGAGCCAGGGUGACGGGCCCUGCUAUUUUCCUCAUGGAGGUGAUACUAGUUGUAGCUUUGAUGCAGGUGGUUGUAGUUGUAGGUUUGAUUUCCAGAGAGGCCAUGAGAACCAAACUGUUGACACCCACUAUAACUUCGCUGCACCUGGUGCUUUCUUUGCAAUUGGUGCCAAGGCUGCUGAGAUUCUACCAGCUAUACCAAGAUGUGAUCAAGUCUUCAUACGCAAUCCGAAAAGCUGCACUUGUGAGGACUGCCUUCACCGUCUUUCUUUACAUCACUGCUGCUCAUGUAAGUAUACGAUUGAUUUUGAAGCAUCAUGGCUUGGAAAUGGAAUAGCAUGGGAAGUUUAGUUGUUCUUUCCUUUCUCUCUCUCUCUCUCUCUCUACUCAGGCAGUGGGAGCAUUCUGGUACUCAUCUUCCAUACGCAGAGAAAUGGAUUGCUGGCAAUUAGCCUGCAAAAAUCAUGCUAGAUGUGAUUACAUUGCACUGUUGACCUUUGGCAAUGACAGACCGCCUCCUCAGAUGGAUUACUCGUCAUUUCUGAAUCGGACUUGUCCCAAAGGAGGUGCGGAAUCGAGUUUCGAUUAUGGGAUGUUUGCUGAUGCUGUUAAGUCUGGUGUGCUGGAAUCUGCAAAUUUCGACGAGAAGUUGCUCUACAGCUUUUGGUGGGGUCUGCAAAGUCUGAGGUCAGUUAACUAACAGUUCCAAAAUCUCAUGCCUUGAUCAAAUAGUCUUCUUGAGUAGAGAUAACUAACUAGACUAUGAACAUGUUCAUGAAAUGGGUUUGCAUAAUUAGUUUGAAUCAGAGUUGAACAAAUUUGCUAGCAGUUUGAACAUGUAUAUGCAUUCUCAGCACCUUGGGUCAGAACGUAAAACCAAGCAUCAACAGUCUGGAGAUAUGUUUUGCACUGUGCAUUUUCAUUGCUGGGUUGCUGUUAUUUUCGCAAGUCAUCGGUAUCAUACAGGUAAGUAAAGCUUAUUAUACAUUCCUGUUUGUUUGCUUUGUUGUAGAUUUCUGAAGUUCUUGCAUUGCAUUACUUAUGCAGACAAGGAUGCUGACAUCGACGAUUAGGAUUGAGGAGAUGAAAAUGAAAUGGGAAGAUGUGGAGGGAUGGAUGUCUUCCCAUUUCAUCCCACACGAACUAAAGAGGCGCCUGAGGCGACAUCAAGAGUACAGAUGGCGUACGGACCAAGGAGUCGAUUUCAACCACGUACUAGAUAAUGUUCCAAAGGACCUCCGAAGGGAUGUCAAGCGCCAUCUUUGGCUGCCGUUGCUCAUGAGAGUGAGAAUAUAAAUAUUUGAACUUUGUAACAUUGCAAUGUUCCUUCUUUUCAUUCCUGAUUAUUCAUGGUGGGGUCUUGAAAGGUGCCAAUGUUCGAAGAGAUGGAUGAACAGCUACUAGAUGCAAUGUGUGACCGUCUCAAACCAGCACUAUACAUAGAGGAAAGCCACAUUGUUCGUGAGGGAGAUCCAGUGGAUGAGAUGCUCUUCGUUAUGCGAGGAAAGCUCCUGACAACAACCACGGACGGAGGAAGGACAGGGUUUUUCAACUCGGUGUACCUCAAGGCAGGCGAUUUCUGCGGCGAGGAGCUUCUGACAUGGGCGCUGGAUCCUCACUCUUCGUCGUACCUCCCUAACUCGACCAGAACAGUUCGUACGAUAACCGAAGUAGAAGCAUUUGCACUAACAGCGGAGGACUUGAAGUUCGUGGCUUUGCAGUUUCGUAGGCUUCACAGCAAGCAGAUACAGCACACGUUCAGAUUCUAUUCGCAACAGUGGCGGACUUGGGCUGCUUGUUUCAUACAAGCUGCCUGGCGACGAUACAGAAAGAAGAAGCUUGAAGAAGCAAUGAGGCAAAAAGAGGACAGGCUACAGGAUGCAUUGGCUAAGGCGAGCAGUAGCGGGAACUCUCCUAGCCUUGGUGCAACAAAAUACGCAUCGAGGGUUGGUGUCAAUAGGCAGGCGAUUUCUGCGGCGAGGAGCUUCUGACAUGGGCGCUGGAUCCUCACUCUUCGUCGUACCUCCCUAACUCGACCAGAACAGUUCGUACGAUAACCGAAGUAGAAGCAUUUGCACUAACAGCGGAGGACUUGAAGUUCGUGGCUUUGCAGUUUCGUAGGCUUCACAGCAAGCAGAUACAGCACACGUUCAGAUUCUAUUCGCAACAGUGGCGGACUUGGGCUGCUUGUUUCAUACAAGCUGCCUGGCGACGAUACAGAAAGAAGAAGCUUGAAGAAGCAAUGA